rnacentral:rRNA from 1 species
UACAGAGGUCCCAAGCGUUGUUCGGAUUCACUGGGCGUAAAGGGUGCGCAGGUGGGCUGUCAAGUUUGAUGUGAAAGCCCCGGGCUUAACCCGGGAAUGGCAUUGAAUACUGAUGGUCUGGAGGAUUGGAGGGGGGACUGGAAUUCUUGGUGUAGCAGUGAAAUGCGUAGAUAUCAAGUGGAACACCAGUGGCGAAGGCGAGUCCCUGGACAACUCCUGACACUGAGGCACGAAAGCUAGGGGAGCAAACAGG